UUGGAUAGAUGGAGGGUGGCAGAGGGAGGUAUAGUGAAUCUAAUGGGAUGUUGGAUAGGUGGAGGGUGGCAGAGGGAGGUAUAGUGAAUCUAAUGGGAUGUUGGAUAGAUGGAGGGUGGCAGAGGGAGGUAUAGUGAAUCUAAUGGGAUGUUGGAUAGGUGGAGGGUGGCAGAGGGAGGUAUAGUGAAUCUAAUGGGAUGUUGGAUAGGUGGAGGGUGGCAGAGGGAGGUAUAGUGAAUCUAAUGGGAUGUUGGAUAGAUGGAGGGUGGCAGAGGGAGGUAUAGUGAAUCUAAUGGGAUGUUGGAUAGAUGGAGGGUGGCAGAGGGAGGUAUAGUGAAUCUAAUGGGAUGUUGGAUAGGUGGAGGGUGGCAGAGGGAGGUAUAGUGAAUCUAAUGGGAUGUUGGAUAGAUGGAGGGUGGCAGAGGGAGGUAUAGUGAAUCUAAUGGGAUGUUGGAUAGGUGGAGGGUGGCAGAGGGAGGUAUAGUGAAUCUAAUGGGAUGUUGGAUAGAUGGAGGGUGGCAGAGGGAGGUAUAGUGAAUCUAAUGGGAUGUUGGAUAGAUGGAGGGUGGCAGAGGGAGGUAUAGUGAAUCUAAUGGGAUGUUGGAUAGGUGGAGGGUGGCAGAGGGAGGUAUAGUGAAUCUAAUGGGAUGUUGGAUAGAUGGAGGGUGGCAGAGGGAGGUAUAGUGAAUCUAAUGGGAUGUUGGAUAGGUGGAGGGUGGCAGAGGGAGGUAUAGUGAAUCUAAUGGGAUGUUGGAUAGAUGGAGGGUGGCAGAGGGAGGUAUAGUGAAUCUCACUGGAUGUUGGAUAGAUGGAGGGUGGCAGAGGGAGGUAUAGUGAAUCUAAUGGGAUGUUGGAUAGAUGGAGGGUGGCAGAGGGAGGUAUAGUGAAUCUCACUGGAUGUUGGAUAGGUGGAGGGUGGCAGAGGGAGGUAUAGUGAAUCUAAUGGGAUGUUGGAUAGAUGGAGGGUGGCAGAGGGAGGUAUAGUGAAUCUAAUGGGAUGUUGGAUAGGUGGAGGGUGGCAGAGGGAGGUAUAGUGAAUCUAAUGGGAUGUUGGAUAGAUGGAGGGUGGCAGAGGGAGGUAUAGUGAAUCUAAUGGGAUGUUGGAUAGAUGGAGGGUGGCAGAGGGAGGUAUAGUGAAUCUAAUGGGAUGUUGGAUAGAUGGAGGGUGGCAG